UGCAGUCGACGGCAGCACGAGAGAGCUUGCUCUCUUGGUGGCGAGUGGCGGACGGGUGAGUAAUAUAUCGGAACGUGCCCAGUAGCGGGGGAUAACUACUCGAAAGAGUGGCUAAUACCGCAUACGCCCUACGGGGGAAAGGGGGGGAUCGCAAGACCUCUCACUAUUGGAGCGGCCGAUAUCGGAUUAGCUAGUUGGUGGGGUAAAGGCUCACCAAGGCAACGAUCCGUAGCUGGUUUGAGAGGGCGACCAGCCACACUGGGACUGAGACACGGCCCAGACUCCUACGGGAGGCAGCAGUGGGGAAUUUUGGACAAUGGGGGAAACCCUGAUCCAGCCAUCCCGCGUGUAUGAUGAAGGCCUUCGGGUUGUAAAGUACUUUUGGCAGAGAAGAAAAGGCAUCCCCUAAUACGGGAUGCUGCUGACGGUAUCUGCAGAAUAAGCACCGGCUAACUACGUGCCAGCAGCCGCGGUAAUACGUAGGGUGCAAGCGUUAAUCGGAAUUACUGGGCGUAAAGCGUGUGUAGGCGGUUCGGAAAGAAAGAUGUGAAAUCCCAGGGCUCAACCUUGGAACUGCAUUUUUAACUGCCGAGCUAGAGUAUGUCAGAGGGGGGUAGAAUUCCACGUGUAGCAGUGAAAUGCGUAGAUAUGUGGAGGAAUACCGAUGGCGAAGCAGCCCCCUGGGAUAAUACUGACGCUCAGACACGAAAGCGUGGGGAGCAAACAGGAUUAGAUACCCUG
rnacentral:rRNA from 1 species